GAUUUCUGGCUUGAAACAUUUUGCCGGCCACGGUUUCGUGUGUUAGUGCUUGAUGUUCUGGCCAUCCUUCCAAUCGCUAUUCACAUUUCUUCAUUGAUGUGUGGGUGGUAUUGGAUCUUUUACUUUGAACAAAUUAGAGUGUUUCAAGCAGGCUUUAUGCUAUGAAUACAUUAGCAUGGAAUAAUAAUUUAGGACUUCGGUUCUAUUUUGUUGGUUUCUAGGACUGAAGUAAUGAUUGAUAGGGAUAGUUGGGGGUGCUAGUAUUCAGCGGCCAGAGGUGAAAUUCUCGGAUUCGCUGAAGACUAACUUAUGCGAAAGCAUU
rnacentral:rRNA from 1 species